GCCGAGCUGAGCAACGCAAGCUUGUAACCCAAGUGAGGGCAUCGAAGUGUUGGAAUGCUGGCUCAGCUAUAGCGGGUCGGGUCAUGCAUGGGCAAUGUUCUGGCCCGCCUGUUCCAAGCAAGGAGUUGAGCCAUGUGGCUUGGGCGAAGGCUCUGGGCUUCAUGGUUCCUGUUGUGAAAUUAUUGCAAGCGCACAAUCCAUACAAGUAAUAUAGAAAUAAGUAGAGUGUCGUUCCCACGAAGACUGUAAUUUCCUAUUAACUACCAAUUAU
rnacentral:SRP_RNA from 1 species